GACGAACGCUGGCGGCGUGCUUAACACAUGCAAGUCGAACGGAAAGGCCCAGCUUGCUGGGUACUCGAGUGGCGAACGGGUGAGUAACACGUGGGUGAUCUGCCCUGCACUCUGGGAUAAGCCUGGGAAACUGGGUCUAAUACCGGAUAUGACCAACUGUCGCAUGGUGGUUGGUGGAAAGCUUUUGCGGUGUGGGAUGGGCCCGCGGCCUAUCAGCUUGUUGGUGGGGUAAUGGCCUACCAAGGCGACGACGGGUAGCCGACCUGAGAGGGUGAUCGGCCACACUGGGACUGAGACACGGCCCAGACUCCUACGGGAGGCAGCAGUGGGGAAUAUUGCACAAUGGGCGCAAGCCUGAUGCAGCGACGCCGCGUGAGGGAUGACGGCCUUCGGGUUGUAA
rnacentral:rRNA from 1 species